rnacentral:sRNA from 1 species
AUUUAGCCCCGAUGGAAGCGACAUCCUUUUUAUUUCGAUUUUUAUCGGGAUAAAAAGAUACAGUGGACAGCGGGAGAAAUA